CCCAGAAGUUCUUGCAGAAGCUCUAUGUCCCAGCUUCCAUCUGGCAACUAUAGAUCCCAAGUGUCUGUAACAUGAAAAGAUCAAGCGUCAUAACAGAAAGCCCAAUGUAAAUUGCUCUCAGAAGGGUCAUUUAUUGCCCACAUCACAGAAGAGCUUCCAUAGUGCAUUUGCCAGAGAAACUUUAGCACUUUGGAUGCCUUUGCUCAGUCCCUGGAGGUCCUUGUGGCUCAUUAAGCAAGACUACAGUAUCAGCUGCCACCCAAGAGUGGUUCCAGGAAAGUAAAAUUUCUGCCCAGUCACCUCUGCCAUCCAUUGGCUGAUGACAAGCUGGACGUGAGCCAGCAAGGCAUCCUCACAGCCCAGAAAGCCAAACGUAUUCUGGGCUGCAUAAAAAGAAGCAUGGCCAGCGAAUCAACGGAGGUGAUCCUGCCUGGAUCUACUCUGCACUGAAAUGCCCAGAGAUGCAUGUGUAGAAUCAAUGAAGAAAUGGAGACACCCCUAGCACAAAUACCAACGUCCACAAGCAAAUGUCUAUACCCUCCUUUCAAGCAUAUCUCCAUCCUUCUCCUUCCCAUGUGGGCCUUCAGUGAACUGCUCACAUCAGCUCAGCACAUUUCUUCACUACUUGUGUUUGUGUAAAUAACUUCAGGACAGAGCUGGGGGCCAUCACCACAGCAGCAUGGAAAUCACAAC
rnacentral:lncRNA from 1 species